rnacentral:tRNA from 1 species
GAGCAAAACACUGAAAAUGUUUGGGUUAUUGGUUCAAAUCCGAUCUUGGGCAAUUCCUUUGAUUUUGGGGAAGA